GGUCAUUUAGUUUUAUGUUAGUGUAAAUGUCCUACUUGUAUUUAUAUCCAUGGUUAUGAAAGAGAGUGUUAUGUGGUUUAUCUACUUGUUUGGCUGUCGAGGCAAAUUAUUGAAAAUAUUGAGUUUUUAUGGUAAAGGAAGAAAUUGAUGGCAUGAAAAUUAUACUUACCUUCACAGAAGAAGAGAAACACAAAAAAUAUAAAAUAUAAAAUAUAAUAAAAAAAUUAGGAAAUCUACACUAAAUGACAAAAUUGAAGGCAUGAUAAUUAUACUUACCUUCAGCGAAGAAGACAAACGGAAACGACGUUGAAUAGUGAUGAAAUUGGAGAUCGUUGAAGGAUUUUCUUUUGGUUUCUUCAAAGGUUGCUAAAAGAAGAAACGGCGUUGUAGUCAUCGAUUGAAUACACCCCCUUAAUCUAUUUUUUUUCCUUUUGAGAUUUUGAAUAUCUUAAUGUGUGGAAUAUAUACAAAUUUCAUUCAUUAAUGUGCUGCAGUUUGUUUUCUUUGGAUUAAUUGAUCGAUUUAAUUAUAACUAAUAGUCCUCUUAGAUCAUUUUGUGUUUGAAUUCGCUAAAGUAGCCAAACCUUUAAUUUGCUUUCCUUCUUUCUUUUUUGGAUUAGUGGAAUACAUGUGUUAGAUCAUCGUGUGUUUGAAUUAACUAAAGUAACAAAACUGUUAAGUUGCUUUUUAUUUUUUCCUUUUUGGACUUGUGGAAUAUAGUGGGUUGCAUGAUUUGAUGGCUAAAUUGGGUAUUCAUUAUUGUCUACAUUUAAAAUGAAUGAAAAUAAGUGCUUAAAUGUUGUUAUAUGAAUAUAAUGAAUUAAGUUUUCUAGAAAAUGGAAUUACAUAAUAAAUGUAGAAAUGGGUUAUGAGUUAGAAGUAGCGAUACAUAAAUAGCAAAUUGAAACUCGUAAUGAAAGACUUGAUGUUAAACGAAAAAUGCAGGAGCGCUCUUUUUUGAAGUCCCCUUUAAACAAAAAUAAUCUAUGUGAGUUGUUGGCAUGGUGAAGUCUUCGAUAAUUUUUGAUUUCGAAUGCCAAAUAGGUAUGUUAUUGUUGCUUGGAACACACAUUUUCUUAAGUUAAAAUGGAAAAUGUAAAAUGAAAAGAGAAAAUGCAAAACCAAAAGAAAUUCAAGAAUCCCAACCUGCUUCUUUUGCACGUGACUAAAUAAUUGAAGGGAAAAUUAGAAAUUAAUUAUUUUUUUAUUUAACUACAUGCCUGAUGUCCAUAUAAAAUUAAAAUAGUAAAAUGAAGAAUGAAAUAUUUAAGGGACACAUAAAUCAUUUUGUUGUCUUUUUAAUUGCUGAGUAAUCAAUUAAUUGAUGCAGUUAAUAUACGUGAUUGGUAUGGGACCCAUGUACACUUAGUAUUGCACUUCCUUAUUUACUGAAAUUAAUUCUUUAUCACAUAUGCAGUAUUAGUAUUAAAUUAUACAAACUCAUUUGUUUAAUCUUUUAGGCUGUCAAUAAUCUGCAUCAUUAAAUACUAGAAAGAGCAAAUAACAUAAUGAUAUCUUUAAAAUUCCUACAUUGCUUUAGUUUGAAUGGUUAUAGUUUGUAUGUUUUAGAAAGUGCAAUUUAUGCUAUGUUAGUUAUCAUGUUUUUACAUGUUGUCAAUAGGUUAAUGUCUCAUACAAUUCUAUGUAGGCAGAUUUAUUUUGCAUAAAAGUUCAGUUUCCACAUAUGUAUGAUGUAAUAUAUGUGCUAAUAGCUUUUUUCAAUUCUUUUAGUUCUUGUUGGUAACCUUGGGCUUCAAUUAUUCGAUAAGUUAUCUAAUUGUUCUCAUGGAUGUUUCGGAAACAUGUUCUAAUGGAGUGACUGGUUCUCUGAAUUUCGAAACAAUGUCCCAUCGUCAACAAUAGAACCAAAGGCAAAGGGAUAGGCGAAAUCGACUUAGAAUUGGAUGCAAUGAUCGUCGCAAGAGGAUAAAUGAUCCUAUAUCAUCUCAAAUUAAUAAUUCCAGCAUUGAAAGAGUGCAACAAUCUAUAGUGCACCAUGAUUUUGAGGCUUCUACUUCAAACCAAGAGACACAUGAUAUUUCCAAUUUUUCAUUACGAAGUAGUUUUAAUGCACUGAACAUACCAAUGAUUUCAUAUGUAUUACAGACAUGCAAUAGCUAUAAAUAUUGUGGUGCAAGAAAAUUUUAUAAAGAAAGUAAAGGCUUCUGUUACU
rnacentral:lncRNA from 1 species